CGCAGGGCCUGUCUCUCAACCAGCUGGUUGCGGAGCUCCGAUACCCUCUGCUCUUUCUGAGAGCACGGAAGAGGAAGAGGUCUUAUUAAUACUGGACACUCAUGGCUGGCGAGACUUCUCCUCAUCAUUGUUGUUGGUGGACGAGCCCGUCUUCAGCGUGUCCUGCUGCUCUGACUGCCACUCACCACGUGUAAUCAGCCUGCGCAUCUAGAAUAGAAUAGAGUUUUACUCUACACAGCCAGAGAGACAGAGAUGAACCAUAUACUAUAUGUGAAUUUGGAAAUGUUAACAUUGAAGAAUGUAUUGAGACUUUGUUUUGAGUGCUGAUGCAAGUGUACAUUAAACACGGCUGCUAAAUGACUCAGUCCUAGGCAACGUCCCAAAUGGCACCCUUUUCCUUAUACAGUGCACUACUUUCGAGCAGAGCCCUGGUCCAAAGUAACGCACUAUAAAGGGAAUAGGGUGCCGUUUGGGACACAGCCCUGUUCUUUACAGUAUACUGUACCUUGGGCACGAAGAGCACCACCAGGGUGAUGUAGACAGAGAACACUAUGGCCAGAGCGGCAAAGGCAAAGGAAGCAUCCUGCUGUGAUGUGAGGAUCAUAGUGACGGGAGCCGUGAUCAUGCACAACACCUGCAGAGACGGGGGGAUUGAGAGAGAGAGAAAGAAACAAAGAGGUAAAUAUCAAGAGAGAGGUGAGAGAGGAAAAUAAGAUCUAAAAAAGCGGUCGGCAGCUGCUUAUCAUUCCAACGAGGUUCCUCAUAUGAAAACAUCAUUAUAAAGUCAUAGUGGCCAUACUGGCACAUUAUCACAAUAUCAAGCCUUCCAAAAGCUCUCUACUUCCCAACAAGGAGGCCUUUGCAGAUACAAUAAAUAUUGACAUUUUAAAGGAUUCGACCUCAUAUGGGGCACCAUUGUUGUAGGGAAUUGUAUCAUUUAUCUCUGUGUAUUACACCAUGAAAUAUACACAAUUAAAUAAAAUGGUGAAAUCAACAUCUAAGCUUUC